ensembl:snoRNA SNORD116 Small nucleolar RNA SNORD116
GGAGGGAUGAUACAUUCCAGAUAUGCUUCCUUGGAAAGCUGAACAAAAUGAUUCUAUACCAUUAUCCUCAUCAAACUGAGGUCC